rnacentral:rRNA from 1 species
UGGGGAAUUUUGGACAAUGGGCGAAAGCCUGAUCCAGCCAUGCCGCGUGAGUGAAGAAGGCCUUCGGGUUGUAAAGCUCUUUUAGUCGGAAAGAAAGGGUCGCAAUGAAUAAUUGUGAUUUAUGACGGUACCGACAGAAAAAGCACCGGCUAACUACGUGCCAGCAGCCGCGGUAAUACGUAGGGUGCGAGCGUUAAUCGGAAUUACUGGGCGUAAAGGGUGCGCAGGCGGUCUUGCAAGUCAGAUGUGAAAGCCCCGGGCUUAACCUGGGAAUUGCGUUUGAAACUUCAAGACUAGAGGGCAGGAGAGGGGAGUGGAAUUCCAUGUGUAGCAGUGAAAUGCGUAGAGAUGUGGAAGAACACCGAUGGCGAAGGCAGCUCCCUGGGUUGACCCUGACGCUCAUGCACGAAAGCGUGGGGAGCAAACA